rnacentral:misc_RNA from 1 species
UCAGUCUACCUGAUCGACCAGGCGACGCGGGUGGGCAGCGGUGGCGGGGAGGGGGAGGGCGAGCCGAAGCAGGUUCAUUACGCGGUGGCCGCGGGGCUUGAUGAACUGGACGGGACGAAACUCGGGCGAGAUGAAAUCGCGCUGAACCAGUGGGCGGCCGAUCAACUCGGGGCGAAGGUGGGGGACCGCAUUCGGCUGAGUUAUUACGUGCGGCAGCCGAAUGGGCAGUUGAGGAAAACGCAGACCGCCGAGCCGCUGCGGGUUGCGAAGAUUCUCCCGAUGCAGGGGCUGGGGGCCGACCCGACGCUGACGCCGGAGUACAAGGG